AAUCAACGCUGGCGGCGUGCCUCAGACAUGCAAGUCGAACGCGAAAGUCCCCUUCGGGGACGAAGUAGAGUGGCGCACGGGUGAGUAACACGUAGGUAAUCCACCUUCGGAUGGGGAAGUAACAACCGGAAACGGUUAGCUAAUACCGCCAUAAUAGCAGCGGCACCUAAUGGUGACAGUUGUUAAAGACGGGGGAGUCGAAAGAACCUCGCGUCUGAAGAGGAGCCUGCGGCGGA
rnacentral:rRNA from 1 species